rnacentral:rRNA from 1 species
UACGUAGGGGGCUAGCGUUGCUCGGAAUCACUGGGCGUAAAGCGUGCGCAGGCGGCUGUGUAAGUCAGAUGUGAAAUCCCUGGGCUUAACCUAGGAACUGCAUUUGUGACUGCAUUGCUAGAGUGUGGUAGAGGGAGAUGGAAUUCCGCAUGUAGCAGUGAAAUGCGUAGAUAUGCGGAGGAACACCAAUGGCGAAGGCAAUCUCCUGGACCUGCACUGACGCUCAUGCACGAAAGCGUGGGGAGCAAACAGG